rnacentral:rRNA from 1 species
UACGAAGGGGGCUAGCGUUGUUCGGAAUUACUGGGCGUAAAGCGCGCGCAGGCGGUUCUUCAAGUCAGAGGUGAAAGCCCAGAGCUCAACUCUGGAAUGGCCUUUGAGACUAGAGAACUAGGGUACGGGAGAGGUGAGUGGAAUUCCGAGUGUAGAGGUGAAAUUCGUAGAUAUUCGGAAGAACACCAGUGGCGAAGGCGGCUCACUGGCCCGUUACCGACGCUCAGGCGCGACAGCGCGGGGAGCAAACAGG